UCAGAAAGUUGACAAAUGGCAUUUAACAACCAGAUUACAUUCAAAAUGAACAGGGAUGAAAAUCCCAGUUGAUCCAGUCCCACCUGCAGAUUGCCUGGUUUCCCCCCCAGGAGCUGGCAGUUAGCUGAUAGGACUCAGCAGUGUGUCCUACACAAAAGGAAAUCAUGGGGAAAUAUCUGCUGCUUUAUCCAGAAUGCAGUCUCUGGCGAUCUAUCUGGCAAAAGCAUGAUGCACAGGAUUUCAUGCAGUGCAAUUUUACCUUUGCUGGAAACAUCAGGGAAUACCUGAAAUAAACGAUAUUAAAUUUUCAUUUUGUUAAUCAUAUAGCGAAAAAAAAUUCUGGUGACAUGCUGAGAACAAUUCCAAGUAGCUUGUUUUCUUUCCUGAUGAAAUUUGUGAAUACAUUGAAGCACAGUCUGCUUCAUUCGUGUCGCAUUUAUAAACCAGGUUUUCGCUAUAGUCACCUCAAACAACCGGUAGGUGGCAGAAUCGGUUUAUUUAUUGCUAGGCUGAGCAUAGGCACUGCUACUCAUUUAGGAGAAUUCUAACUCUAUGCAAAAACAGUGCUUGGGCUAUGGCCCACUGUGUGGGUCUUGCUGACUGUGUGUUUCCACUUGUAUUGCAGUUAUUAUCUUUCUAU